UGCGGUUAAAAAGCUCGUAGUUGGAUCUCGGCGGGCAGGGGGUGGUUCGCUCUUCAGCGCUACUGCCCCGCUUUGCCCGUGUGAUUGGCGGAGGUUUCGGGGUGCUCUUCGUUGAGUGACUCGGAGCGCCGUCAGGUUUACUUUGAAAAAAUUAGAGUGCUCAAAGCAGGCUUUUCACGCUUGAAUAUUCGUGCAUGGAAUAAUGGAAUAGGAACUCGUUUCUAUUUUGUUGGUUUUCGGAAAUCGAGUUAAUGAUUAACAGGGACAAUUGGGGGCAUUAGUAUUCAGACGACAGAGGUGAAAUUCUUGGACCGUCUGAAGACUGACUACUGCGAAAGCAUUUGCCAAGAGUGUUUUCAUUAAUCAAGAACGAAAGUUAGAGGUUCGAAGGCGAUCAGAUACCGCCCUAGUUCUAACCAUAAACGAUGCCAGCUAGCGAUCUGCCGAGUUUUUUUUGUAGGCUCCGCAGGAAGCUUUCGGGAAACCAAAGCUUUUGGGUUCCGGGGGAAGUAUGGUUGCAAAGCUGAAACUUAAAGGAAUUGACGGAAGGGCACCACCAGGAGUGGAGCCUGCGGCUUAAUUUGACUCAACACGGGAAAUCUCACCAGGCCCGGACACUGGAAGGAUUGACAGAUUGAGAGCUCUUUCUCGAUUCGGUGGGUGGUGGUGCAUGGCCGUUCU
rnacentral:rRNA from 1 species